AGUUUGGAGAUAGUGCUAAUCCUUAUGCAAGGUAGGUGCAUGGUUUGCAUGGAACAUACCAUAUGCUUGGAAAUCAAUUUGGACGCACCCAAUGGAACUCCUUGAUGACGUGUGUCAUAUAGAAUCUUGCUUUGGUCCGUUUGUAGACAUUGUAAGUUUUAGUGCAAGAUAGGUGCACAGUUUGCGCCUAAUGCACCAUAGUCUAAGAAACAUUUUUAUACGCACUAUUUGGUACUCUUGGGUGAAGAGGCUCAAGUGGAAGCUUGGUUCGGUC
rnacentral:lncRNA from 1 species